UGGUGGAGGCGGCGGCGGUGAUUUAUACUUGUAAACUGGUGGUGGUGGGGAUUUGUAGACUGGAGGAGGUGGUGGAGGAGACUUGUACUUGUAAAUAGGUGGUGGUGGAGAUUUGUAGACCGGAGGAGGCGGUGGUGGUGAUUUGUAUUUAUAAACGGGUGGUGGUGGUGAUUUGUAUUUGUAAACCGGAGGAGGUGGUGGAGGAGACUUAUGCUUGUAAACGGGUGGUGGUGGGGAUUUGUACAUUGGUGGAGGUGGUGGUGGAGACUUGUACUUGUAAACGGGUGGUGGUGGGGACUUGUACUUGUAAAUAGGUGGCGGUGGGGAUUUAUGGACUGGUGGAGGUGGUGGUGGGGACUUGUACUUGUAAACGGGUGGUGGUGGGGAUUUAUAAACUGGUGGAGGUGGUGGUGGAGACUUGUACUUAUAAACGGGUGGUGGUGGGGACUUAUACUUGUAAACGGGUGGCGGUGGGGAUUUAUAAACUGGUGGAGGUGGUGGUGGAGACUUGUACUUGUAAACGGGUGGUGGUGGGGACUUGUACUUGUAAACAGGUGGCGGUGGGGAUUUAUAGACUGGUGGAGGUGGUGGUGGAGACUUGUACUUAUAAACAGGUGGUGGUGGAGACUUAUACUUGUAAACGGGUGGUGGUGGAGAUCUAUAAAUUGGUAGAGGUGGUGGCGGGGAUUUGUACUUAUAAACUGGAGGUGGUGGUGAUGAGUACACGUACUUCUUGGUUGGUGGAGGAGGAGAACUAUAGU
rnacentral:lncRNA from 1 species